rnacentral:rRNA from 1 species
GGCGAUGAUGCAUAGCCCGAGUUGAGAGACUGAUCGGGCCACAUUGGGGACUGAGACACGGCCAAAACUCCUACGGGGAGGCAGCAGUAGGGAAUCUUCCACAAUGGACGCAAGUCUGAUGGAGCAACGCCGCGUGAGUGAAGAAGGGUUUCGGCUCGUAAAGCUCUGUUGUUGGUGAAGAAGGACAGGGGUAGUAACUGACCUUUGUUUGACGGUAAUCAAUUAGAAAGUCACGGCUAACUACGUACCAGCAGCCGCGGUAAU